GAAGUAAUAAUCAAUAUUCCGAGUAACUGCAACACUGUCUUAUUUUGAAACACUGUCUUAUUCUGAAGUGCACUCUUAUUUUGAAAUGGUCAACUCGUAACCGGAUGCAAACGACAUUGAAUGCAACAUUGCUGGCGCUUGAGGCCGGACGGAGGAAAACUGUGGGUUUGAGCGUAGGUUUCCUCAACAAGCGAAAUAUAAAUACAGGGUGAACAGGGGAAUCUCUUGUGGUGUUAUACAUAAAACACACAAUGAGUAAUACUCCUUAUUGCCACUGUAAUACACUAAGAAGCGACUUGGCUUUAUGCCACGUAUACACUGAACUGGCCGGAAGUACUGUUACGACUUGAAGCAACCAAUAGGAAGAGGCAACCGCUGGACAAAGACCCAUCACAGAUGGGGUUGGGGUCUCUUUUGGCUCGGACCCACGGACAGUGAACACAUCGUGAAUUCUAUUCAUGUUUUGGGCCUGUUCUAGUGUGUGUAGAGCUUUAGGGCCACAGCUGUGAAACGAUUGUAAAACCUUCCACUACAUCUUUUUUAUUAAACACUCCUUUGUAAUUUUUACGGGAGUUUUGCCUUUUCUUUUACACCGACAUCCUGGCUUCAAAUAAACGAACACAUUUCUACAAUUUGGUGACCCCGACGUGAUUUGAAAGGCCAGGCAGGACGGAGAUUGGAGGGAGAGCUGACUCCUUAAGGCACUCACAGGCGCGCCAUUAACAUACGUUUUGUCUACACAGGUUCGAAAAGCUGAGGAGGGACCGUGUGAGACACCAGAAGAGGCUCCUGUCCGACCAGGUGAUUGGGUGAGGGUCAAGGUCCACAAACGAAAGUGGGCAGAUCCUAGGUGGUCGGAACCGUGCGAAGUUGUUGAACGAACUUCUCACGCGCUCCGGGUUAAAGGUAAAACAGGAGCAAAUUGGUACCACCUUACACAUUGUGCUCCCACAACACCCCCUUCCAGAACACUUUCGGAAGUUAGGAUUGAUUUGGCAGAGCUAAGGCAAGAAUCAUAAACGUCAACAGGGAAACAGUUGAAAAAGCAAAUUCCUUUUGGAGUUCAGAGGUUCCCAUAGAGGUGGAAGCCGCUAACUUUUAUUUUUUAUUUUGUUUUUUGUUUUUUAUUCCUAUUACUCACAUUAUAUUUUGAUAUUUUUACUUUUAUACGCUGUUGUGUAUCUCACAGUUGGAAAUCUUGUAUAAUCAUGAAUGUGUGUAAAAAUGUUAUACAACCAGUAAUAAUGCCAAACCAGAAAUGGGGUCCUCUAGGGUCUAAGGUUAAACUAAUACAGAUAAUCAUGCUCAUGGGGUCCUUUAUGAUUUGGUGGGGAGUACAGCACAUUGGAAAUUUGUCUGAAAAAGGUGAACAAAUUAAUCUCUCUCAAGCUCUAUUACAGGAACCCCCCCAUCUCCUCAGGCCUCAAAGAUCAGCAGACCCAGGGGAUGGGAGGUUAGUAAUCCUGGUUCCAAGAGGAGAAGCUGUAACUGUCAGUCUCGAUUUGUGUGACGUGGUGGAAUGUGGAAAGGGUCCACAAGACUGGACAGGACAUGAUGUAUAUGGUUGUAUUUUCCCCUGGGGAACACCAGAUGAUAACACCUGGUGCCCUCAGUGGGACAUAGUGUACUGGAAUUCUAGGUCUGAGGGGGACACCAUUUCCCCACCUACAGGACAACAGGGGACGUUUCAGACUCAGAUAUCCUUAGCUAAAGGGCACCACUAUGGGGACAACAACCGACGAAAUCCCAUCAUAAUCUCAUUUAAAGACACACUCACACAUCUAUUUAGAGCCAGGGAAGAAACAUCUGCAUUUCAUCUAAUAUUGGGAGUUGAGGUUCCUGGAAAGGAUCCUAUGGGUUCAGUCUGGGUUGAGAUAAUUGAACCACAGGAGGAGCUACUCCUCCAUCCUACCCCCGAGGAACCAGCAGAUUUAAAUUCUUCCCUGAUGACAGUCCAUGAUAUGGGAGUAGCUCAGGCUCACUCGCAGGAGAACCACAGACUGGUGACAUAUUUGAGUACAUCGACGGUGCAGAAGGUAAUAGCAGUGGAGACCGGGUAUGAAGACACUAACGCUUGGUUAGAUUGGGUUGUGUAUUCGGUAGAACAGAGCAAGAUGUCAGACUGCAUGGCAUGUGCUGCUGCAAGGCCCAGUCUUGGCACUGUGCCUUUCCCUCUAAAUUCCUAUACUGAUCCAAGAGGACUAUCCUGCAUGUAUAAACUUUAUGAACAAAAAUCCCCAGUAGGCUGUACUGAUAUUGCGCUAAUGUACCCCAUCAUAAAGGUAAAUGACAUUCCACCAGUUUUUACUCCUUAUGAGGGACAUUAUGAUUGUAUUCUGAAGAAUCACACGGGAGGCACCUAUAUGGGAACAUUACGGUGGUGCAAUUCCACAACAGCAGUAACCAACCAGGGCCUUCUUGCAGGAGUUGUUGUGGAUAAUAUGCAGUAUCCCCGGGCAGAUGUUUGGUGGUACUGUGGUACCAAAACAUUAUAUCCAGUCCUUCCCCAUGGUUGGACUGGAACAUGUGCACUGGUGCAAUUGGUGAUGCCCUUCUAUGCAGUGCCCAUGACCGCCAGACAGCUAACACAGCUUGCACUGCACCCCAAGACCAGUAGAACGAAGAGGUCAGCCCCAGGAGGGAGUUUUAGCUCCUCGGUUUACAUUGACAGUAUUGGGGUGCCCAGGGGAGUGCCAGAUGAGUUUAAAGCUAGAAACCAGAUAACUGCAGGAUUUGAAUCAAUAUUUCUUUGGCCUACAAUCAACAAGAAUGUAGAUUGGAUCAAUUAUAUUUACUACAACCAGCAGAGAUUCAUUAACUACACCCGAGACGCAGUAAAGGGGCUGCACGAGCAGUUGGACAAAACCAGUCUAAUGGCUUGGCAAAACAGGAUGGCCUUAGAUAUGCUUUUGGCUGAAAAAGGGGGUGUAUGUAAACUAUUUGGAACUCUGUGCUGUACUUUCAUCCCAAAUAACACCUCCCCAGAUGGAUCCGUAACCAGAGCAUUAAAGGGACUUACCACCCUGAGUAUUGAACUUGCAGACAAUAGUGGAGUGGAAGACCCCUUUGUAGGAGUGUUUGAAAGAAUGUUUGGUAAAUAUAAGACUCUGAUCAUGAGUGCAAUGUUAUCCAUAGCAGGAAUGGCUACAAUUUUGAUUUUAUGUGGAUGUUGUUGUAUACCAUGUAUUCGUACCUUGGCUAACCGCUUAAUCACUACAGCCCUCUCAAGAGAACAACAUCAAGGUCAAUUUCUGUUAAGAGAACAGGUACAUUUGUUGAUCGGAGAGCAGGAUGAUCCACCUGCAUAUACAGACAAUGAAAAUGUGGAUGUGGUUUAAGUUGAGAAUUACGGGUAUUGGGACAGAAAGAUAACGUAAUUUGAUCGGGACUAUUUACAUAUGGUUCGAAUUCAGAAUCCUGCUAAACUCAGGGAGUGAGGUUUUAUGAUGAUACUUUACAAGCAGGUUAUAUUAACGUUUCAGUAUUCUAAUAUAGUGUGCCUUUUUAAGGGAUAACAAAGCCCCUUAUUUCUUCUUAAGUAUUAUGACUAUUGGUGUAUUAAGUAACCACGUAUAUGAAUGUUCAGGUUUAUUUAAUGAUAUUGUAUCACUGUGUAAAAGUAGGACUUAUUUAAGUGCCUUAUACCUCAAUAUGACAUUACCAAUUGUAUUAUGUUGUGCCAAAAUGUGACUUGAAACCAGACAAUCUAUGUUAAGCUAAAUGACCACUAUAUUCCAUGAAGCUGUCCAAAAGGAGGGUAUGGAGAGUUCAUACACUGAAGGAUUUGUUCUCUGACACACAGAUAGUGAAGUAUUUGUGUAUUUUUUGCAUUGUCCGUCCUGAUGUGAUUUCUAUGAUGUUUACUGUUCGGAUGAAGAACAUAUUGAUCAUUACUAAUAUUUACACACCUUAAAAGGUGUGUAAGGAGGGAAUUGUAGGAAGUAAUAAUCAAUAUUCCGAGUAACUGCAACACUGUCUUAUUUUGAAACACUGUCUUAUUCUGAAGUGCACUCUUAUUUUGAAAUGGUCAACUCGUAACCGGAUGCAAACGACAUUGAAUGCAACAUUGCUGGCGCUUGAGGCCGGACGGAGGAAAACUGUGGGUUUGAGCGUAGGUUUCCUCAACAAGCGAAAUAUAAAUACAGGGUGAACAGGGGAAUCUCUUGUGGUGUUAUACAUAAAACACACAAUGAGUAAUACUCCUUAUUGCCACUGUAAUACCCUAAGAAGCGACUUGGCUUUAUGCCACGUAUACACUGAACUGGCCGGAAGUACUGUUACGACUUGAAGCAACCAAUAGGAAGAGGCAACCGCUGGACAAAGACCCAUCACAGAUGGGGUUGGGGUCUCUUUUGGCUCGGACCCACGGACAGUGAACACAUCGUGAAUUCUAUUCAUGUUUUGGGCCUGUUCUAGUGUGUGUAGAGCUUUAGGGCCACAGCUGUGAAACGAUUGUAAAACCUUCCACUACAUCUUUUUUAUUAAACACUCCUUUGUAAUUUU